GGGGGAUGAAGGGAGAGCUUGAGAUACAGAAGCUGAGAGAGUUCUUUGCGGAGCUGCUUUUCAGCAGAGACCUGCAGCAUCAGAAAGAGCCAGUGAGCUGGUGACCUGGGAAAAGAGAGUUGCAGGCAAAGGGAACGGCCAGUGCAGAGGCCGUGGGGUAAGAAUAACCUUGGUGUGCUCCAGGGACAGAAAGAAGACCAGGGCACCCAGUCCACUGAGUGGAAGGAAGAGAAAUAUGCCAAGGGUGGAAAGCCGCCGUGUAAGAAGUACCUUUCACCUUCCACCAUGAUUGUGAGGCCUCCCCAGCCACGUGGAAAUGGCAGGUGCAGAGGAUCCAGCAUGUUAUUCUGAAACCCCAGAAGACGCUGCAGCUACCAAAUAGAAGGAGCCUGGAUCCCUGAAUGUCUUCAUGGAACAGAACAUUCUCCUCACUCCAGUCUGUUUGAACCAGAAUAUGACCUGAGCAAGAAAUAAGCCUUAAUUAUAUUUGACCAUAGAAUUCUGGUGAUAUUUCUAUGGCUGUAAGUCCAUGUUGAUUAAUACAAAGGGAUGCUGUAAAGCCUCUUCUAUUAAAAAAAGUUGCCCAAGGAGUGAAAGGAGAGAUAUUUUCUGUAAUUAAGAUUUUCAUAAUACAUAGAACAGGCUAUAGCACCUGGCAAUCAAUCAUAUGGGGUACAACAGAAAGAGGAAACAUUCCUGCUAUUAAAUUAACCAAACUGGAGUUCUUGUUAUAUAAUAUAGUAAAAUUUCCUCAAUCUUUCAGCCACCUUUAGUUCUGUAAUCUAUUAUUUCUGGGUAAAAGCAUACCAUUUGAUACACAAUCCAAACCCAAUUCUUAAUUAAUAACGUGUAUCCACUGUAUCUUACCACAUCCCAAAUCAUCUAAUACUUAACCACCUAGUUUCUAUGUUCCACUUACAUCAAACAUAUUCAUGUUUGGAAAAUUGAGCCAGCAUCUACUGCCUUAUCAGCUGAUGCAUAACAAUUUACUUUGUCUGUGCUCUAUAAUAAUGCAAGUCUGCUUGGAAAGAUAACACGUUAAAGGGUUAUCAGACCCUAACACCUUCGUAUAGAUGAAUUUAUCAGAUCCUCUGCUAAACCACUUUCGAAUCCUUGGCCAGUUCUCUACAUUUCAUGAAGAGUUAGCAUAGCCAGUCCAGGAGAUAUUAUCUUCAGGAUGUGGUCAGUUGUGGAAAGGAAGAUAGCUCUGAGGAUCUCUUUCCAGGGAAAAGAAAGACAUGAGGAUUGCUCCAAAGAUCCUCUUUCUGGGGGAAAACGCACAUACUACAGAAAGGCUACAGAAAAAAAAGCACUCCCUCAGCAACAUAUUCACAAUCUAUUUUGUUGGAAUUACAGGCCAAUCCUUUUCAGACAGUUGAGUCCAGAGAGGACUGGGAGACUGCCUGACCCCAUGGGGUGCUUGACAAGGUCAGAUUCCAGGGCCUGGUAGGCUGUUAAAACCAAAGGGGGCCAGUGCUCAUGGACAGUGAGUUAAGAGGCUCCUGACACUGGGGGUCCUUUCAGAGCACAUACAGAAGGAGGAGUGUCCUUCUGUUACACAACCUGAAUUACUGGAGAAGGGCCCGCUGGUGUCGUUCUCCUCAAUACAAUGCACCUCCUACAAUGCACCUCCACUUCUGGGAGAGGGGAAGGGGGAAAAAGAGACAGAGAAGGAGGGAGAGAGAGAGAGAAAGAGAGCGCUGUCUCCCUCCCUUCCUUCUUCCUUCCCUUCUCUCUUUCCCUUCCUCUUAUCUCUCUGUGGAUCUCUUUCAAGUAUUCCUAGAAGAAUCUGGAGCUAAAAUGAGCCUGCGUCUGAAUUUUACUCCUGGCUCUGCAACUGAUAAGCUAUGUAAUCAAGUCCCUUCCCUGCUUCUUUCUUUCUCACACACACACACACACACACACACACAGUCUCUCAUCAAAUGCUUUGUGGGUUCUUACUCUGACAAGCCAGGCAUUGUGCUAGUUACAGGAGAUAAUCUGAAAGAAAAUAGCUCCUUCUUAUAAAAUGAUGAUAGACCAGGUGAUCUCACAGGUAUAUGUUGAUGAUGGCUAGUUUAGUCUUGCUAGCUCUGCUCAUGCACCUCCCUCCUUCAAUCAUGUACCUCCCUCCUUCAAAUCAAUAUCCUCACCUGCUUUCCCAAAGCCCUCUUGCUAUUCCUUCUCCCUCUGAGGUACCAUUUUUAGCCUAGUAUCAAAAGGCACCACAGCUCUUUCCGUCCCCCACGCCACCCAUCCUCUUCCCCAGCAUCAACACCAAGCUGCCCUGAAUGCUAUGCUUUCACUCUUUCCAUCAGCAUGCAGUUACUAAUCCCUUAAUGUGACCGGAGCAGAAGUCUAAAUAACUGCUCCAUAAUCCCCUAGUAUUUGAGCAUCCAAAAUAACAUUUGCAUUUUCAUCAGGGUCUUAAAUGGUCUGGUGGCUUUCUUUUUAUAAAUUAGUAAUUUAAGUAUUUAUUUUUUAAAAAUUCAAACACAGAUAUAGAUAUGUUUAUGUAGGACUACAUAAAGAUUUAUAAUUUUAUAGAAUUACAUAAACGUGAUUAUAUUAUAUAUAGCUUUUCAUUUUCUUUCUCUCUCUCUUUCUUUUCUUUGUAUCUUCUUCCUCUCUCCAACCUCCUCCAUACUAAUAAUUCUCAGCCACAAAUCCUCCACAAAACCAUGGAACCCAUGUUAACCUUUUAUGUAUCCUUCCAUAUUUUUCUCUAUUUGUCUAGACUCACACCAGUGUCUAAUGACAUAUGUGAAGGGAUGUUCUUGGAGUACUCUUGUUCGUGGCAAAGAAUGAUUGAAUGAAUUCUGGUACAAUAAUAUAUUUCAGUUAGGCUAGGCUGCUUGUUGAUAUGGAAUAAACAACUCCAAA
ensembl:lncRNA novel transcript